CCUACGGGAGGCAGCAGUGAGGAAGAUGGGGCAAUGGGCGAGAGCCGGAACCAGCCAAGUCGCGUGAAGGAUGAAGGAUCUAGGGUUUGUAAACUUCUUUUAUAUGGGAAUAAAGUGAGGAACGUGUUCCUUUUUGUAUGUACCCUAUGAAUAAGCAUCGGCUAACUCCGUGCCAGCAGCCGCGGUAAUACGGAGGAUGCGAGCGUUAUCCGGAUUUAUUGGGUUUAAAGGGUGCGUAGGUGGUUAAUUAAGUCAGCGGUGAAAGUUUGUGGCUCAACCGUAAAAUUGCCGUUGAUACUGGUAGACUUGAGUAUAUUUGAGGUAGGCGGAAUGCGUGGUGUAGCGGUGAAAUGCAUAGAUAUCACGCAGAACUCCGAUUGCGAAGGCAGCUUACUAAACUAUAACUGACACUGAGGCACGAAAGCGUGGGGAUCAAACAGGAUUAGAUACCCUUGUAGUC
rnacentral:rRNA from 1 species